rnacentral:rRNA from 1 species
GGAAUUGUUCGCAAUGGGCGCAAGCCUGAUCCAGCCAUGCCGCGUGUGUGAAGAAGGCCUUCGGGUUGUAAAGCACUUUCAGCGGGGAGGAAGGGUGUUGUGUUAAUAGCACAGCAUUUUGACGUUACCUGCAGAAGAAGCACCGGCUAACUCCGUGCCAGCAGCCGCGGUAAUACGGAGGGUGCAAGCGUUAAUCGGAAUUACUGGGCGUAAAGCGCACGUAGGCGUUAGGUUAAGUUGGAUGUGAAAGCCCCGGGCUCAACCUGGGAAUUGCAUUCAAAACUGGCAUGCUAGAGUAUGUGAGAGGGGGGUAGAAUUCCAAGUGUAGCGGUGAAAUGCGUAGAGAUUUGGAGGAAUACCAGUGGCGAAGGCGGCCCCCUGGCACAAUACUGACGCUCAGGUGCGAAAGCGUGGGGAGCAAAC